UUCCAGCUUGACGUGCCUGCUGUGAUGGGCGUCGCGUGCAGCGAGAUCAGCUGUGGGCCUGACAUGGCACAGAUGGAGGCUGAGAACAACGGGAAGCCCCUGCUGGUCCGUGAGGAGUCAUCUCUUAAUAUCCCAGCUAUUGCUGCUGCCCACGUUAUUAAGAGAUACGUUGCCCAGGCACCGGGUGAACUCUCCUUGGAGGUGGGAGACCUCGUGUGCG